UGGGGAAUAUUGGACAAUGGGGGGAACCCUGAUCCAGCCAUGCCGCGUGUGUGAAGAAGGCCUUAUGGUUGUAAAGCACUUUAAGCGAGGAGGAGGGUACUGGUAUUAAUACUACCAGCUACUGGACGUUACUCGCAGAAUAAGCACCGGCUAACUCUGUGCCAGCAGCCGCGGUAAUACAGAGGGUGCGAGCGUUAAUCGGAUUUACUGGGCGUAAAGCGUGCGUAGGCGGCUAAUUGAGUCGGAUGUGAAAUCCCCGAGCUUAACAUGGGAAUUGCAUUAGAUACUGGUUAGCUAGAGUGUGGGAGAGGAUGGUAGAAUUCCAGGUGUAGCGGUGAAAUGCGUAGAGAUCUGGAGGAAUACCGAUGGCGAAGGCAGCCAUCUGGCCUAACACUGACGCUGAGGUACGAAAGCAUGGGGAGCAAACAGG
rnacentral:rRNA from 1 species